AACGAACGCUGGCGGCGUGCUUAACACGUGCAAGUCGAACGUGAAAGGCUUCGGCCGAGUAAAGUGGCGCACGGGUGAGUAACGCGUGGGUAAUCUGCCCUUGGGCGGGGGAUAACCUCUCGAAAGGGGGGCUAAUACCGCAUGAGACCACGGCUUCUCGGGGCUGUGGGAAAAGGUGGGUCGCAAGGCCUGCCACCUGAGGAUGAGCCCGCGUACCAUUAGGUUGUUGGUGGGGUAAUGGCCUACCAAGCCGAAGAUGGUUAGCUGGUCUGAGAGGACGAUCAGCCACACUGGGACUGAGACACGGCCCAGACUCCUACGGGAGGCAGCAGUGGGGAAUAUUGCGCAAUGGGGGAAACCCUGACGCAGCAACGCCGCGUGUGUGAAGAAGGCCUUCGGGUCGUAAGCACUGUUGGAGGAACGAGCCGCUCGU
rnacentral:rRNA from 1 species